rnacentral:rRNA from 1 species
UACGGGGGGGGCAAGCGUUGUUCGGAAUUACUGGGCGUAAAGGGCUCGUAGGCGGCCAACUAAGUCGGAUGUGAAAUCCCCAGGCUUAACCUGGGAACUGCAUCCGAUACUGGAUGGCUUGAAUUCGGGAGAGGGAUGCAGAAUUCCAGGUGUAGCGGUGAAAUGCGUAGAGAUGUGGAGGAACACCGAUGGCGAAGGCAGCCUCCUGGGCCAAUACUGACGCUCAUGCACGAAAGCGUGGGAAGCAAACAGG